rnacentral:rRNA from 1 species
UACGUAGGGGCCUAGCGUUGUCCGGAAUUAUUGGGCGUAAAGAGCUCGUAGGCGGUUCGGCAAGUCGGAUGUGAAAUCUCCACGCUCAACGUGGAGGGGCCAUUCGAAACUGCCGUGACUCGAGUCCGGUAGGGGAGUGUGGAAUUCCCGGUGUAGCGGUGAAAUGCGCAGAUAUCAGGAGGAACACCGAUGGCGAAGGCAGAUCUCUGGGCCGUAACUGACGCUGAGGAGCGAAAGCGUGGGGAGCGAACAGG